AUUAACUGACGAGUCCUAAAUAGGACGAAAUGAGCAUCCUGGUGGAU
rnacentral:hammerhead_ribozyme from 1 species